GCAUGUUGAAAACACCGGUGCUCGUCCGAUCACCGAAAUUAAGCAUCAUCGAUCGCGAUCAGUACUUGGGAGGGUGAUCACAUGGGAACA